rnacentral:rRNA from 1 species
GACGAACGCUGGCGGCGUGCUUAAUACAUGCAAGUCGAACGGAAAGGCCAUGCUUUUGCGGGGUGCACGAGUGGCGAACGGGUGAGUAACACGUGAGUAACAUGCCCUUGACUUUGGGGUAACUCCUGGAAACAGGGGCUAUUAUCGGAUAGGAGCUCCUGCUGCACGGGGGGGGAUGGAAAGUUUCGGCGGUUGGGGAUGGUCUCGAGGGUUAUCGGCUUGUUGGGGGGGUAGUGGCUUACCAAGGCUUUGGCGGGUAGCCGGCCUGAGAGGGUGACCGGCCACAUUGGGACUGAGAUACGGCCCAGACUCCUACGGGCGGCAGCAGUGGGGAAUAUUGCACAAUGGGCGGAAGCGUGAUGCAGCAACGCCGCGUGCGGGAUGACGGCCUUCGGGUUGUAAACCGCUUUCGCCUGUGACGAAGCGUGAGUGACGGUAAUGGGUAAAGAAGCACCGGCUAACUACGUG